rnacentral:rRNA from 1 species
UACGAAGGGGACUAGCGUUGUUCGGAAUCACUGGGCGUAAAGCGCACGUAGGCGGUUUUGUAAGUCAGGGGUGAAAUCCCGGGGCUCAACCUCGGAACUGCCUUUGAUACUGCGAAUCUUGAGUCCGAUAGAGGUGGGUGGAAUUCCUAGUGUAGAGGUGAAAUUCGUAGAUAUUAGGAAGAACACCGGUGGCGAAGGCGGCCCGCUGGAUCGGUACUGACGCUGAGGUGCGAAAGCGUGGGGAGCAAACAGG